UCAAGUGAAGAAGCGCAUACGGUGGAUGCCUUGGCAGUCAGAGGCGAUGAAAGACGUGGUAGCCUGCGAAAAGCUUCGGGGAGUCGGCAAACAGACUUUGAUCCGGAGAUGUCUGAAUGGGGGAACCCAACCAUCAUAAGAUGGUUACCUUACACUGAAUACAUAGGUGUAUGGAGCGAACCAGGGGAACUGAAACAUCUAAGUACCCUGAGGAAAAGAAAUCAACCGAGAUUCCCUUAGUAGUGGCGAGCGAACGGGGACUAGCCCUUAAGUGGCUUUGAGAUUAGCGGAACGCUCUGGAAAGUGCGGCCAUAGUGGGUGAUAGCCCUGUACGCGAAAAUCUCUUAGUCAUGAAAUCGAGUAGGACGGAGCACGAGAAACUUUGUCUGAAUAUGGGGGGACCAUCCUCCAAGGCUAAAUACUACUGACUGACCGAUAGUGAACUAGUACCGUGAGGGAAAGGCGAAAAGAACCCCGGAGAGGGGAGUGAAAUAGAUCCUGAAACCGUAUGCGUACAAGCAGUGGGAGCCCACUUUGUUGGGUGACUGCGUACCUUUUGUAUAAUGGGUCAGCGACUUAUUUUCAGUGGCGAGCUUAACCGAAUAGGGGAGGCGUAGCGAAAGCGAGUCUUAAUAGGGCGUCUAGUCGCUGGGAAUAGACCCGAAACCGGGCGAUCUAUCCAUGGGCAGGUUGAAGGUUGGGUAACACUAACUGGAGGACCGAACCGACUACCGUUGAAAAGUUAGCGGAUGACCUGUGGAUCGGAGUGAAAGGCUAAUCAAGCUCGGAGAUAGCUGGUUCUCCUCGAAAGCUAUUUAGGUAGCGCCUCAUGUAUCACUGUAGGGGGUAGAGCACUGUUUCGGCUAGGGGGUCAUCCCGACUUACCAAACCGAUGCAAACUCCGAAUACCUACAAGUGCCGAGCAUGGGAGACACACGGCGGGUGCUAACGUCCGUCGUGAAAAGGGAAACAACCCAGACCGUCAGCUAAGGUCCCAAAGUUAUGGUUAAGUGGGAAACGAUGUGGGAAGGCUUAGACAGCUAGGAGGUUGGCUUAGAAGCAGCCACCCUUUAAAGAAAGCGUAAUAGCUCACUAGUCGAGUCGGCCUGCGCGGAAGAUGUAACGGGGCUCAAACCAUACACCGAAGCUACGGGUAUCACGUAAGUGAUGCGGUAGAGGAGCGUUCUGUAAGCCUGUGAAGGUGAGUUGAGAAGCUUGCUGGAGGUAUCAGAAGUGCGAAUGCUGACAUGAGUAACGACAAUGGGUGUGAAAAACACCCACGCCGAAAGACCAAGGUUUCCUGCGCAACGUUAAUCGACGCAGGGUUAGUCGGUCCCUAAGGCGAGGCUGAAAAGCGUAGUCGAUGGAAAACAGGUUAAUAUUCCUGUACUUCUGGUUAUUGCGAUGGAGGGACGGAGAAGGCUAGGCCAGCUUGGCGUUGGUUGUCCAAGUUUAAGGUGGUAGGCUGGAAUCUUAGGUAAAUCCGGGAUUCUAAGGCCGAGAGCUGAUGACGAGUCGUCUUUUAGACGACGAAGUGGUUGAUGCCAUGCUUCCAAGAAAAGCUUCUAAGCUUCAGGUAACCAGGAACCGUACCCCAAACCGACACAGGUGGUUGGGUAGAGAAUACCAAGGCGCUUGAGAGAACUCGGGUGAAGGAACUAGGCAAAAUGGCACCGUAACUUCGGGAGAAGGUGCGCCGGUGAGGGUGAAGGACUUGCUCCGUAAGCUCAUGCCGGUCGAAGAUACCAGGCCGCUGCGACUGUUUAUUAAAAACACAGCACUCUGCAAACACGAAAGUGGACGUAUAGGGUGUGACGCCUGCCCGGUGCCGGAAGGUUAAUUGAUGGGGUUAGCUAACGCGAAGCUCUUGAUCGAAGCCCCGGUAAACGGCGGCCGUAACUAUAACGGUCCUAAGGUAGCGAAAUUCCUUGUCGGGUAAGUUCCGACCUGCACGAAUGG
rnacentral:rRNA from 1 species